GACGAACGCUGGCGGCGUGCUUAACACAUGCAAGUCGAGCGGUAAGGCCCUUUCGGGGGUACGACGAGCGGCGAACGGGUGAGUAACACGUGGGUGACCUGCCCUCAGCUCUGGGAUAAGCCUGGGAAACUGGGUCUAAUACUGGAUAUGACUCCACGGUGCAUGUCGUGGGGUGGAAAGCCUUGUGCGGCUGAGGAUGGGCCCGCGGCCUAUCAGCUUGUUGGUGGGGUGAGGCCUACCAAGGCGACGACGGGUAGCCGGCCUGAGAGGGCGACCGGCCACACUGGGACUGAGACACGGCCCAGACUCCUACGGGAGGCAGCAGUCCGGGGAAUCUUGCGCAAUGGGCGAAAGCCUGACGCAGCGACGCCGCGUGA
rnacentral:rRNA from 1 species